ACUCCUACGGGAGGCAGCAGUGGGGAAUAUUGCACAAUGGGCGCAAGCCUGAUGCAGCCAUGCCGCGUGUAUGAAGAAGGCCUUCGGGUUGUAAAGUACUUUUCAGCAGUGAGGAAGGUGGAUAUGUUAAUAGCAUAUUCAUUUGACGUUAGCUGCAGAAGAAGCACCGGCUAACUCCGUGCCAGCAGCCGCGGUAAUACGGAGGGUGCGAGCGUUAAUCGGAAUUACUGGGCGUAAAGCGCAUGCAGGUGGUUUGUUAAGUCAGAUGUGAAAGCCCGGGGCUCAACCUCGGAAUUGCAUUUGAAACUGGCAAACUAGAGUACUGUAGAGGGGGGUAGAAUUUCAGGUGUAGCGGUGAAAUGCGUAGAGAUCUGAAGGAUACCGGUGGCGAAGGCGGCCCCCUGGACAGAUACUGACAUCCAGAUGCGAAAGCUGGGGAGCAAACAGGAUUAGAUACCCUGGUAGGCUCU
rnacentral:rRNA from 1 species